GAGGCCAAAUUUUGGUAGAUAAUAGCCUUCCAAGCUAAAGACGCGGGUUCGAUUCCCGCUACCCGCU
rnacentral:tRNA from 1 species